UACGUAUGGGGCUAGCGUUAUCCGGAUUCAUUGGGCGUAAAGAGCGCGUAGGCGGUUUGUUAAGUCGGAUGUGAAAACCGGGGGCUCAACCCGCGGCCUGCAUCCGAAACUGGCAGACUUGAGUCUGGUAGAGGAAAGUGGAAUUCCUAGUGUAGCGGUGAAAUGCGCAGAUAUUAGGAGGAACACCAGUGGCGAAGGCGGCUUUCUGGGCCACGACUGACGCUGAGGCGCGAAAGCUAGGGGAGCAAAC
rnacentral:rRNA from 1 species